rnacentral:lncRNA from 1 species
UUGAGCCACAAUCCGAUAACGCCACCAUUCACAUCUAUUUUCCUUCAAGCUUUAUUUGAUAUCAACUUUACUGGAUUAACAGAAAUAAUAAUGGAGGUACAGUAGACAAUAUUUGUUUUUGUAUUACACAUGCGUUCAUAGAGGAUUUCAAACUUAGCAAUUGCAAUCAAAAUCAACCUAUCAAAGUCUUGUAGAUUGAAACAACAAUGACUUAAAAUUUCAAAAUUGGUACCGUUUAUGUCACUUAAGUACUGUACAGAAAAGUUCCUAUGCCAUAGAACACAUAGAGACCAGAUAUGUCUGUCCAGAUCUAAAACUGAACAGGCCCGGCACACGGAUAUGAGACAGGGUUUAUCUCUUUCUAAAAUUUAAAAGCAUCGUACUCUCAGAACAGACGAUCAAAAGCUAUACAGUAAAAGUCACCUCUUUUAAUCGUAAACCUGUCUUAUCAUUUAUAACUCUUUUUAAUUGUCCUGCUGUAGUAGUGCCUAUAUUGUAUGUGCAUUUAGAACCUUAAUUUAGUGUUCAUCUUUCAUAUAUAAGGUACUGUAACAAGUUUGUGAUGUUUUUCUCGACUUUUCUACUUCUGCCUUUUCCCCUCUUUAUCAGGCGUAUUUGCAUACGGUAAUUGUAUCGGAACCGAGGAUAUCCUUUAUAGAUAUGUUUGACAGUAAAUAUAGAAAAGAUUCAUACUGAUCAACUUUGAAAACAGACUUAUCAUUUUAAUUCAAAUACAAACUAAAACAAUUUGAAAAUUUUCUUCAGUUCCCACAACAUUUGUUUUUCAAAACUUUUAAUUAACCAUAUCACAAAUGAUCCUUAGUUUCUAAAACUAACAUAUUUAUAUUCUAUAUGUAGAAAAUAGUUGUUGACCACAGUUUUCCAGAAGUAAUGCAAAAGAUACAAUAACAUAAAGAACUGAAAGUUAUAUUUGAGAAAGCCUUGCCUCUACGUGUAAGACCCGAUAAACUCCGAAUGGAGGUACAGGGACAAGCAGUGUUCAACAUAGAUCCUUUAAAACUAUUGCAUUUGCUAAAGGAAAAGAACCGAGCGCAGGAUUU